rnacentral:lncRNA from 1 species
UUUAACUAUUGAAUUCAGUUCAACAGCUGGCUUUUUUAUUGUAAUUUUUCCUGCUAUAGUGAUUAUUUGUCUUCGUUUUGCUUUAAUGACCUGUGUUUCAACCAAUAAUGAAUUUCCCCAAGGAAACCAUAGACACCAAGAAAAUCACUUUUUAAAGGGUUUUGGGGGUUACUUUUUAACCAAAAUCAAUCUAUCUCCAAGCAAAUGAGAAUGACAGCUCUUUAAAUUUGGGUUUCAAUGGCCAAGCCCCAGUUUUCCGUAACUUUUAUUAUCUG